GGCGGCGCGAGGGGCGGGGGCGCGCGGGCGCGGCGCCCCCUCCUUCCCGCGGCGCUGCGGUGUCUGCGCGCGGCCCCCCGGAGGGACGUGUUCCCGCUCGGCUCCGCUUCGCUGGGCCGGGCAGAUCCGGGGUUUCCCAGCGCGGCGGCCUCCUCCCGCGCGAACAGAUCCUUCGUCGGUUUUCUCCUCAGCGCCUCAGGCUGCGGCCCUGGCGCGCGCGUGCGCGGUUGUGUGCGCGUCCGUGUGCGCGUGCGCGUCCGAGGAGGCACUUGUCCGCGCUGGGUGACCUCCCUCCCCCGGCGGAAUUCAGGAUUAAGAGCCUUUCGGAGAAGCGUUCGGCCGGAGAUGUAAAGCCCCCGUGAAAGUCACCGCGUCAGACGCGGACACCCGUUACCCAUUACCUAAAGGCAAAAGGAGGACCCGUUUCCGCCUCCGUGGAACGAGAGAGGCACAGAACAAAACCCGAAGGUUUCUUCCCAACAAAAAGGUUGACGCAGUGGGAGGCGGAAACCGUGGUUUCCAGUUCGAAGUACGGCACCGAAUGGAGGACUUUGGACAGUCAUUUUCAGCCUAAUUCGAGAUCGGUCACGCUCACGUAGGAUACAGGUGUGUUUUAAUGGCUUAGUAGGUUGCCGUGUAUUUUAAGUGGUGUGAGGGGUCCUCCUUUGGAACCGUCGUGGUUCCUCAAAUAGGAAAAUCGGGAGGCUCCAAGGUGGGGUGGGGGGACAGGCCCCUGGUAGGCAGCGUCUACGAAUUCCAUAACAUGUACUGCUAAUAAGAAUUUAUGCUCCAAGGGAUUUGAGGCUGAUUACCACAGUAAAUUAGCUUGCAGUUUUCAACCUCAGAGCAUGAUUAUAAUAAACAUAGGUAGCAAGAUUUCUAAUAUAAAGGAAAUUACCUAAUAUUUUUAAGAGGCAAAUCUCAAAUUGAUUUAAGUUUUAGAAGGCGACGGAAGGGAUUUAAAAAUAGCAUUACUGUGUUAAAAUGCACUUUCUCAUAGAACAGAUGUUUUUCUGCAAGCUGAAUGCCAGAUGCACAACGCCAGUGAUUCUCGUAAUACUCCACGGCACUAGAGUUGUUGUUGUUGUUGUUGUUGAUUUAAUAUUUUGGCCCUUACUAAGUCACCUCUGUAGGGAUGAGGCCUCGAAAUCUGUCUUAGCCACCUCCCUCAGCACUCAUGAUUCUAAAGUCCUAUAAAAUUGAGAGUCCCUGUACUAUGUUAUAAUCCAAGUACACCCAUAAUACUUAAAUUAUACUAGUCCUAACUAGGGAAAGGUAAAAGCAUCAAAUUCAUGGAUUACUUAUUUCUAGAAAAGGGUUUCCUUCCCCCUACUUCUUGAAACAGCAUCAUUGACUAAGAAAAGGCAGUUGCAACCACAAUUCACAUCUUUCCAACCCACCAAGGAAAGAGUGUUCAGUCUUGGGAAAAGCAUCUGCAGCAUGAAAUUAGGAUAUUUUGUCCAUUGCAUGUAAUUGAGUUUAAAUUGUUGCUGAAAUUGAAAACCUGACAAUACUUCCCUAAUUAAUCACUAUCAAAUGUGUAAGUAGGAAAGAGUUCUGGAACUCUGAGUCAGAAAAUGAAAAUUUUAAGCCAUCAUUUAUUAGCUAAAUGAUUUCGGAUAGAUCAUUUCAUUUUCUGGAGUUGGUUUCCUCAUCAAUGAAAUGGACAGUAAUUCCUUCUUUAAUGUCUCAGGGAUGGUACAGGCUCAUACGCGGUAAGGCAUGUGAAAGUAUCAUCAUAUACAGUUGACAUCCAGAAGUUUAACUCAUUCAAAAGGAAUAAAUCAUUUGAAAUUGUCUUAUCUACGCAGUAGGAGAGAAAUGUCAAAAUUGAACUCUGUAUCCUUAAGUAUCUCUUUUUUUUGUUGUUACUGUCCAGUGGCUUCUGUUUGCCUGGUGGUUUGAGAGAUAGACAAAACAGAUGACUUUAUCCUCUCAGACAGACUUUCUAGUUUCUAGUCUACCAUCAUAAGCAUCAAUGGACAUUUCAUCUCUUCUAGUCCACUGACCCAGACUCAUCUUGUCAUGCUUUUGGUAAAAGCCCACCAAACCUUCUGUAUCAAUACUGUUGAGUGUCUAUCAGUAUUUGCCUAUUAGCAAUUUAUAAUCUAGAACAGAAGGCAGUGGCCACCAUUAUCUUUCAGCAGGUACUGUAAAAUGGCUUACCCAACACUCAUCCAAACCCCUCCUAGCUUGCUUUUCUGAACUUUAGAAGCUAGAAAAUUGAAAACUACAGUUUCUAGACUCUCUUGCAGCUAGAUGAUGGUGUGCUGGUAAAUGUUUACUAAUGGUUGGGGGAGGGGAACAACUGAUUUGUUGUAGCCAGUCUUCAUGGUAUGAAUAUUCCCAGGCUACCAAAAAUGACUUCACUGAAUGUGGACUUACUUGGAAAAGAUGAUAACAAUCAGUAGCUGGUUUCCUUCAGCAUAUCAGUGCAUAUGACCUAGUUUCCAGCAAUCAGAUGUACCCAUUCGAGACAUAGGUAUGAAAGUAAGCAACAUGAUGCCUCAGCUGCACUCAGGGUGAUGGGAUUUUUCUGGCAAACACUUUAUGGUGGAGAUACUUGGUUCUGGGUAGCUGGGGGAAGAGUUCUCACAUCCAUUUUUAGAGUCAUGGGUGCUGACUGGCAGGUGGUGUUGGAAGGGGUUUCCACUAGAAUUGCCCUGUGAUGUGGGAUGAGGUACUUUCUGGUUUGGUUUUUCCUAGAUGUUGUUUCUAGCAGUGUUAUUAUCCAAGCCUGGUUCGCUCAGAGAUCUGUCCUUUAAUCCAUUUCUGCUUAAACUAGCUCAGUCACGGCCAGCUACAUAAUUUGCUGAGCCCAGAGCAAAAGGAAAAAUGUGAGGCCCCUUGUUCAAAAAGCAGGAAAAAGGUGCCAUUAUACUUACUAAAAUAUAAAGCUUUUUCUUUCUUCUGUCGUCUCUCUCUUGACUUAGAAUGACAUUAAAAAGCAAAUAAAAAACAUCAUUACAAGAAAAAUUAGAAUUUUAAAUUAGAAUGAAUUUUACCAUUCAUCUUUAUUUUGUGCAAUGCCAUUUAUAAAUGCAAAUAUAAAAGCAUUUAACUCCUACAUAGACUCACCAAAAUUACACAGUUCAUAUUUCCUAGUUUAUACAUGCAUAUGCAUUUUGUGCUUAUCGGAACAGUGUAAACGCUGCACAGAAUCAACUCAGCUGUUUUUGUUUCCCUUCUUGAUAGGCACACAUCCUCACAAUUUGAGUAGGGAAGGGGGGAAAGGAAAGAAACCAUGAGUUGCCCUACCUUUCCCCUUCCUUCUAUGUCAUCAUUCUCAGCGUAAAUGCUAAUAUGGGGAUAUGAUAGGGUUCUUCUGUCGCUUGUAUUUUUUAGGAUGCUACUGCCUUCUUUUUGUAAUAUGCUUGCCUGUCGUCACUGUGACUCCCUGAGUUCCUACACCUCAUAGGUCUAUCAAUGCUGCGUUUAUGACACACCACAAAGACUAUAUGCAAAUAGGGUGGCAAGGAAGAAAAGAUGGCACACAGUGCUUCCUGUGCUUGCUUGUAUGAUCCAUUGUGCCACUGGACUUAAUUUAUUAAACAAACUUUCAAACAUAAAAGUAUGAAGAUUUUCAAAAUGGCGAUUGCAGAACACUAAACCAAGCACGGUGCCCCAUAGAACUGCACAGUUUGCAUGCCCAUGAAGUUGACCCCGAGCUCAGUGUUUCUCAAGGGGCUCCUCCUGAUGUGUUAGGUGAAGCAGUUCUACAUUGUGCAGGAUAUUUAACAUCCCUGGCCCCUGGGCACUACAUGCUACUCUGACAAAAAUGCCCUCCAAGAGGAGUUACUGAACUCCUGGAGUGUACUCCACUGUCUGCAGCUGGGAACCAUGGUCAUUACAGAUCCAAAAAAGGUCAUGUACAGUUUUUGCUAGUGAUUCCCAGGCAGGAAAAAAUAACAGAGUUGAGUUUAAAAGAUUUCAGAAGUCUCAUACCUGAGAGAAUUAUGGUGACCUUUUUCCUAUGGUCAGAAAAACAAUACUGUCUGCAUUGGUGAUGAAACAGGUAUUUGGGAUGAAAGUUUAAAAGUGAUCAGUGGGGAGCAGCCCGGGUGGCUCAGCGGUUUAGCACCACCUUCAGCCCAGGGCCUGAUCCUGGAGACCCGGGAUUGAGUCCCACGUCAGGCUCCCUGCACGGAGCCUGCUUUUCCCUCUGCCUGUGUCUCGGCGCCCCGCCCCCCCCUCUCAUGAAUAAAUAAAUAAAUAAAAUCUUAAAAACAUAUAUAUAUAUAUUAACAUCAUAACAUACUAGAGUUGAAAUAAGAUAUUCUAGAUCAUUUAUUUCCUUUAUCCCUAUAGAUUAAAAGCUCUAGCUCUAUAGACCUGGCCUUGCCUUUGCUAAUGCUCAAUCUCAGUUUUCUCCUCAAUACAAUGAGGAUAAUAGUAUUAUCUUAGGUUGGAAUUCAUUUUACCAAAAGCCAAUUCACUAAAAAGUAGUUUUACCAAAGAAUAUGUUUGUUAAAUUCAAGGUGAAUUUUCUGUAAAAUAAGUAUUUGGUAAAUUUAACUACUUGAUUCUUUGGCAAAUUAACUUUUAGCAAAUUGACCUGUUUUCCCAUCCCUGUUAGGCUUAUAAUAUGGAUUAAACGAGCUGUUGGAUACUUUCAAAAAGUCCUCAAUCAGUCUUAGCUAUAAUCCCUCCAACAUUCUGACCUCAAGUCUUACCCAUUCCCUCUCUGAAUAUUUAAAUAGUUCCCAUUGCUGUCCACAUAAUUGGCCUUCGGUAGCCUUUCACUGCCUUUAGUUGGACUGUUAUUACAAUAGUCACUUGAUUGGCCUUUUGCCUCAUUCCCUCCAAACUUAUUUCCUACACUAUGGCAAGAGUGGUCUAUCACAUAAAUUUUAAAUUAUCAUCUACAAUAUAAUAGUCAUAUAUUGUAGAUGACUGUUUCAUCUUUUUCACAUAUCCUUUCAGCACCAUUGGAGUACUUUUAGUUCUGUAAAUAUACUUUUUUUUUUUUUUUGAGAAAGCAUCAAAUUUCUCUGCCUUGCCUUUCUAACUGGAAUAUCUUCCCUUUUCUUGUCUCUUGCCAAAAUUUUUGUUCAUCUUUCAAGUUUUAGUUAAAAUGCUGCUUCCCUUAUAAAGAUCUCCCUGAUGUCCUCAAAAAAAUGUAGGUGUUCUUUCUAGGCUUCCACUUUUUUUUGGUAUAUGCUUCUGUUAUAACUCUUAGAUUACUGCGGUUGUUUAUUAGGUUAUCAUUCUGAUAGACUAUAAUCUCAUUGAAGGAAGGGACCCUGCCUUUUUAGUUUUUAUAUACUAGCUCCAUGUAUAAUGGCUAGUAUAUGAAGACAUAGCCUAUGUCUUCAACAUUUAUUGAAUUAAAAAUUUUAAAGAUUUAUUUACAACUCUUCUCUACUGCUUUCCCAUGACACCUCCAAUUUACAGGUCAGGACACUGAGGCCCAAAGAAAUGAAGCUAUUUAGUGAGAUCCCAAGCCUUCUAAUUCCACAUCUAUUACUUUCACUCCUUUACUAUAGAGAAUCUUCUGAGUAGUGUCUAUAUGCUAGUCAUUUCUGUUGUAGGAAACAGUCUUAUCAGUGUCUUUCUAUUCACUUAAAAUCUAGAGAAUAAGCAGAAGGGCAUAGUGAUCCAGGAAAAUUUGUAUGUUCUUUCUUACUCAAUUAUUUGUUGCUUUUUGUUUGUUUUCUAGGUAAUUCAGUGAAAGUCAAGGUAAAUUAUUUGUUCCUCCCCACCCCUGGAGGACAUUUGGUAAAAAUGUCUGGAGACCUUUUUGAUGAUCACAGCUGAAGGACUGCUACCUGUAUCAAAUAGGUGACCAUGCAUUGGGAUUUUCAUAGUUUGAGUUAAUUCCUCUGGGCUCCACCACCCAGCGAGUUACACAGGACAAGAUUCCUCCCAGGGGACUGUGGUUCUGGGAAUGUGAGCAGCUUGUUUUCAUGAUAUCUGCACCCUGACCUGGCCUACUGUUAGGAGCUGUUGUGUUGGUGGUCAUGUUGUCUUUAGUCGUUUUUUUUCUUUCUUACACAGUUAUUUGUAUAUAAAUAUUUUUGAAAAGUAAAUGUUCUAUGCCGCUAUUUUGCUUAUACAAAGAAAAAUUAAAACUAUUUUG